rnacentral:rRNA from 1 species
AUUGAACGCUGGCGGCAGGCCUGACACAUGCAAGUCGAGCGGAUGAAGGGAGCUUGCUCCUGGAUUCAGCGGCGGACGGGUGAGUAAUGCCUAGGAAUCUGCCUGGUAGUGGGGGAUAACGUCCGGAAACGGGCGCUAAUACCGCAUACGUCCUGAGGGAGAAAGUGGGGGAUCUUCGGACCUCACGCUAUCAGAUGAGCCUAGGUCGGAUUAGCUAGUUGGUGGGGUAAAGGCCUACCAAGGCGACGAUCCGUAACUGGUCUGAGAGGAUGAUCAGUCACACUGGAACUGAGACACGGUCCAGACUCCUACGGGAGGCAGCAGUGGGGAAUAUUGGACAAUGGGCGAAAGCCUGAUCCAGCCAUGCCGCGUGUGUGAAGAAGGUCUUCGGAUUGUAAAGCACUUUAAGUUGGGAGGAAGGGCAGUAAGUUAAUACCUUGCUGUUUUGACGUUACCAACAGAAUAAGCACCGGCUAACUUCGUA